rnacentral:SRP_RNA from 1 species
GCCAGGCGUGGUGGCCCACGCCUGUAAUUCCAGCACUUUGGGAGGCCAAGGUGGGUGGAUCAUGAGGUCAGGAGAUCAAGACCAUCCUGGUUAACACAGUGAAACCCCGUCUCUACUAAAAAUACAAAAAAAAAAAAAANNNNNNNNNNUAGUAGAGACGGGGUUUCACUGUGUUAACCAGGAUGGUCUUGAUCUCCUGACCUCAUGAUCCACCCACCUUGGC